rnacentral:rRNA from 1 species
UACGUAGGGUGCGAGCGUUUGUCCGGAAUUACUGGGCGUAAAGAGCUCGUAGGUGGUUUGUCGCGUUGUUCGUGAAAACUCACAACUCAAUUGUGGGCGUGCGGGCGAUACGGGGCAGACUGGAGUAUCUCAGGGGGAGACUGGAAUUCCUGGUGUAGCGGUGGAAAUGCGCAGAUAUCAGGAGGAACACCGGUGGCGAAGGCGGGGUCUCUGGGGCAAGAUAUCGCGCUGAGGAGCGAAAAGCGUGGGGAGCGAACAGGAUUAGAACGUAC